CCCUUAGAUGUUCUGGGCAGCACGCGCGCUACAAUGCUCUUCGCAAACGGAUGCAUUCUCGAAGGAGAAUGCCAAUCUUGGAAUCUAUGCCUUGGUCGGGACAGUUGCUUGCAAUUUUUCGACUCGAACCAGGAAUUCCUUGUAAUCGUGAUUCAUCACAUCACGAUGAAUACGUCCCUGCCCUUUGUACACACCGCCCGUCGCUCCUACCGAUCGAAGAGUUAGGUGAAUUGUUUUGAUCGAUAAGAUUUGACUAUGGUCAACUCUCGUUGUGAAAUUCUGUGAAUCUGACUGUUUAGAGGAAGGAAAAGUCGUAACA
rnacentral:rRNA from 1 species